GUGAUAUGAACCGUUAUAACCGGCGAUUUCCGAAUGGGGAAACCCAGUGUGUUUCGACACACUAUCAUUAACUGAAUCCAUAGGUUAAUGAGGCGAACCGGGGGAACUGAAACAUCUAAGUACCCCGAGGAAAAGAAAUCAACCGAGAUUCCCCCAGUAGCGGCGAGCGAACGGGGAGGAGCCCAGAGCCUGAAUCAGUGUGUGUGUUAGUGGAAGCGUCUGGAAAGGCGCGCGAUACAGGGUGACAGCCCCGUACACAAAAAUGCACAUGCUGUGAGCUCGAUGAGUAGGGCGGGACACGUGGUAUCCUGUCUGAAUAUGGGGGGACCAUCCUCCAAGGCUAAAUACUCCUGACUGACCGAUAGUGAACCAGUACCGUGAGGGAAAGGCGAAAAGAACCCCGGCGAGGGGAGUGAAAAAGAACCUGAAACCGUGUACGUACAAGCAGUGGGAGCCUCUUAAUGGGGUGACUGCGUACCUUUUGUAUAAUGGGUCAGCGACUUAUAUUCUGUAGCAAGGUUAACCGAAUAGGGGAGCCGAAGGGAAACCGAGUCUUAACUGGGCGUUAAGUUGCAGGGUAUAGACCCGAAACCCGGUGAUCUAGCCAUGGGCAGGUUGAAGGUUGGGUAACACUAACUGGAGGACCGAACCGACUAAUGUUGAAAAAUUAGCGGAUGACUUGUGGCUGGGGGUGAAAGGCCAAUCAAACCGGGAGAUAGCUGGUUCUCCCCGAAAGCUAUUUAGGUAGCGCCUCGUGAAUUCAUCUCCGGGGGUAGAGCACUGUUUCGGCAAGGGGGUCAUCCCGACUUACCAACCCGAUGCAAACUGCGAAUACCGGAGAAUGUUAUCACGGGAGACACACGGCGGGUGCUAACGUCCGUCGUGAAGAGGGAAACAACCCAGACCGCCAGCUAAGGUCCCAAAGUCAUGGUUAAGUGGGAAACGAUGUGGGAAGGCCCAGACAGCCAGGAUGUUGGCUUAGAAGCAGCCAUCAUUUAAAGAAAGCGUAAUAGCUCACUGGUCGAGUCGGCCUGCGCGGAAGAUGUAACGGGGCUAAACCAUGCACCGAAGCUGCGGCAGCGACACUAUGUGUUGUUGGGUAGGGGAGCGUUCUGUAAGCCUGUGAAGGUGGCCUGUGAGGGUUGCUGGAGGUAUCAGAAGUGCGAAUGCUGACAUAAGUAACGAUAAAGCGGGUGAAAAGCCCGCUCGCCGGAAGACCAAGGGUUCCUGUCCAACGUUAAUCGGGGCAGGGUGAGUCGACCCCUAAGGCGAGGCCGAAAGGCGUAGUCGAUGGGAAACAGGUUAAUAUUCCUGUACUUGGUGUUACUGCGAAGGGGGGACGGAGAAGGCUAUGUUGGCCGGGCGACGGUUGUCCCGGUUUAAGCGUGUAGGCUGGUUUUCCAGGCAAAUCCGGAAAACCAAGGCUGAGGCGUGAUGACGAGGCACUACGGUGCUGAAGUGACAAAUGCCCUGCUUCCAGGAAAAGCCUCUAAGCAUCAGGUAACAUCAAAUCGUACCCCAAACCGACACAGGUGGUCAGGUAGAGAAUACCAAGGCGCUUGAGAGAACUCGGGUGAAGGAACUAGGCAAAAUGGUGCCGUAACUUCGGGAGAAGGCACGCUGAUAUGUAGGUGAAGCGACUUGCUCGUGGAGCUGAAAUCAGUCGAAGAUACCAGCUGGCUGCAACUGUUUAUUAAAAACACAGCACUGUGCAAACACGAAAGUGGACGUAUACGGUGUGACGCCUGCCCGGUGCCGGAAGGUUAAUUGAUGGGGUUAGCGGUAACGCGAAGCUCUUGAUCGAAGCCCCGGUAAACGGCGGCCGUAACUAUAACGGUCCUAAGGUAGCGAAAUUCCUUGUCGGGUAAGUUCCGACCUGCACGAAUGGCGUAAUGAUGGCCAGGCUGUCUCCACCCGAGACUCAGUGAAAUUGAACUCGCUGUGAAGAUGCAGUGUACCCGCGGCAAGACGGAAAGACCCCGUGAACCUUUACUAUAGCUUGACACUGAACAUUGAGCCUUGAUGUGUAGGAUAGGUGGGAGGCUUUGAAGUGUGGACGCCAGUCUGCAUGGAGCCGACCUUGAAAUACCACCCUUUAAUGUUUGAUGUUCUAACGUUGGCCCCUAAUCGGGGUUGCGGACAGUGUCUGGUGGGUAGUUUGACUGGGGCGGUCUCCUCCUAAAGAGUAACGGAGGAGCACGAAGGUUGGCUAAUCCUGGUCGGACAUCAGGAGGUUAGUGCAAUGGCAUAAGCCAGCUUGACUGCGAGCGUGACGGCGCGAGCAGGUGCGAAAGCAGGUCAUAGUGAUCCGGUGGUUCUGAAUGGAAGGGCCAUCGCUCAACGGAUAAAAGGUACUCCGGGGAUAACAGGCUGAUACCGCCCAAGAGUUCAUAUCGACGGCGGUGUUUGGCACCUCGAUGUCGGCUCAUCACAUCCUGGGGCUGAAGUAGGUCCCAAGGGUAUGGCUGUUCGCCAUUUAAAGUGGUACGCGAGCUGGGUUUAGAACGUCGUGAGACAGUUCGGUCCCUAUCUGCCGUGGGCGCUGGAGAACUGAGGGGGGCUGCUCCUAGUACGAGAGGACCGGAGUGGACGCAUCACUGGUGUUCGGGUUGUCAUGCCAAUGGCACUGCCCGGUAGCUAAAUGCGGAAGAGAUAAGUGCUGAAAGCAUCUAAGCACGAAACUUGCCCCGAGAUGAGUUCUCCCUGAGACUUAGAGUCUCCUGAAGGAACGUUGAAGACGACGACGUUGAUAGGCCGGGUGUGUAAGCGCAGCGAUGCGUUGAGCUAACCGGUACUAAUGAACCGUGAGGCUUAACCUUACAACGCCGAAG
rnacentral:rRNA from 1 species